rnacentral:rRNA from 1 species
AUUGAACGCUGGCGGCAUGCCCUACACAUGCAAGUCGAACGGUAACGGGCCUUCGGGUGCCGACGAGUGGCGCACGGGUGAGUAAUACAUCGGAACGUGCCCGAUCGUGGGGGAUAACGAGGCGAAAGCUUUGCUAAUACCGCAUACGAUCUACGGAUGAAAGCAGGGGACCGCAAGGCCUUGCGCGGACGGAGCGGCCGAUGGCAGAUUAGGUAGUUGGUGGGAUAAAAGCUUACCAAGCCGACGAUCUGUAGCUGGUCUGAGAGGAUGAUCAGCCACACUGGGACUGAGACACGGCCCAGACUCCUACGGGAGGCAGCAGUGGGGAAUUUUGGACAAUGGGCGCAAGCCUGAUCCAGCCAUGCCGCGUGCAGGAUGAAGGCCUUCGGGUUGUAAACUGCUUUUGUACGGAACGAAAAGCCUUCUUUUAAUACAGGAGGGUCAUGACGGUACCGUAAGAAUAAGCACCGGCUAACUACGUG